rnacentral:rRNA from 1 species
AUUGAACGCUGGCGGCAUGCCUUACACAUGCAAGUCGAACGGUAACAGGUCUUUCGGGAUGCUGACGAGUGGCGAACGGGUGAGUAAUACAUCGGAACGUGCCUAGUAGUGGGGGAUAACUACUCGAAAGAGUGGCUAAUACCGCAUGAGAUCUAUGGAUGAAAGCAGGGGACCUUUGGGCCUUGUGCUACUAGAGCGGCCGAUGGCAGAUUAGGUAGUUGGUGGGAUAAAAGCUUACCAAGCCUACGAUCUGUAGCUGGUCUGGGAGGACGAUCAGCCACACUGGGACUGAGACACGGCCCAGACUCCUACGGGAGGCAGCAGUGGGGAAUUUUGGACAAUGGGCGCAAGCCUGAUCCAGCAAUGCCGCGUGCAGGAUGAAGGCCUUCGGGUUGUAAACUGCUUUUGUACGGAACGAAAAGUCUUGGGUUAAUACCCUGGGAUCAUGACGGUACCGUAAGAAUAAGCACCGGCUAACUACGUG